GCGGAAGCCGGUGAAACUGACUAACUGGCGAGCAGUCCAGUUGCCAUCGUCUGAAAGCGAAGACCCCGUGGAGCUUUACUGCAGCCUGUGGUUGUGGUACGAGGUGGAAUGUGUAGGGUAGGCGGGACCCGUUAUCAGGGCGUGCCGCUAGGUACGUUCCGAGGGAACGAUGAAACACCGCCCUUUCGAUCUUGUAUCGCUCACCCCCGGGAGGGGGGACACCUAUAGGUAGGCAGUUUGGGUGGGGCGCCACGCCCUCCAAAAGUUAACAAGGGCCACCAAUGGCUGUCUCAGGUGCGUCAGAAAUGCACCGUGGAG
rnacentral:rRNA from 1 species